GCAGCCAUUAUGGCCAAGCUGUCUGCACUCCUUCUCCAAGUGGCGUUGAGCGCUGUGUUCGCUCUUGGGCUUCUACAGAUGGCAGGAGCUGAUGAUGAAAUGGCACGGGGCCGCCCGUUCGGAGGCCGCUCUGACAACGUGGAGUAAUAAACCGUGAGAGCCCUGCAAUAUGGAUUUGCCGGCCAGGUGUCCUCACGU